rnacentral:rRNA from 1 species
UACGGAGGGGGCUAGCGUUGUUCGGAAUUACUGGGCGUAAAGCGCACGUAGGCGGCUUUGUAAGUUAGAGGUGAAAGCCCGGAGCUCAACUCCGGAACUGCCUUUAAAAACUGCAUCGCUUGAAUCCAGGAGAGGUGAGUGGAAUUCCGAGUGUAGAGGUGAAAUUCGUAGAUAUUCGGGAAGAACACCACGUGGCGAAGGACGG